AUGGCCGCCGUUUACCCCACCACGGCCGCCCUCCCAGCGCGCCACUCCCCUCCUUCCUUCCUCCGGCCGUCGUACCUGUCGUGGUCCGCCUCCAUCACCCAGCACCGCGUCCCCUUCUCACCGCGCCUCGCUCUCUCGCCGCCACCGGCGGCCAAUCGGCGGUCGUUCGUGAUCCGAGCGGCUUGGACGCGGCGGUCGCGCGGCGAGUUGGACAAGAGCCCGAACCGCAAGUCGUGGAAGCAGCGCACGGACAUGUACAUGCGCCCGUUCCUGCUCAACGUCUUCUUCUCCAAGCGCUUCGUCCACGCCAAGGUCAUGCACCGGGGCACCAGCAAGGUCAUCGCCGUCGCCACCACCAACGCCAAGGACCUCAGGACCACGCUGCCGUCCCUCAUAGACGACAACGCCUGCAGGACCAUCGGUCGUCUCAUAGCCGAGAGGUCCAUGGACGCCGAUGUCUUCGCAAUGGCGUACGAGCCCAAGAAGAAUGAGAGGAUCGAGGGGAAGCUCGGGAUUGUCAUCGACACCAUUAAGGAGUAUGGCAUCAUCUUUGCAUAG
rnacentral:rRNA from 1 species